rnacentral:rRNA from 1 species
UACGGAGGGGACUAGCGUUGUUCGGAAUUACUGGGCGUAAAGCGCGCGUAGGCGGAUCAGGAAGUUGGGGGUGAAAUCCCGGGGCUCAACCCCGGAAUGGCCUUCAAAACUCCUGGUCUUGAGUUCGAGAGAGGUGAGUGGAAUUCCGAGUGUAGAGGUGAAAUUCGUAGAUAUUCGGAGGAACACCAGUGGCGAAGGCGCUCACUGGCUCGACACUGACGCUGAGGUGCGAAAGCGUGGGGAGCAACAGGA